AAUAAGAAGCUAUACAAGCCCAGAAUACUUCAUGUGGCGCCAAGAUGUUGCAGAAAAUGUGCCUAAGGCAGUUUUCGCGGAUGGAAAACAAAAACCCAUUCCUGGAAUUGGAACCUAUGUGGGAAAU